UCCAGUACAUGACAUGCUGGUGAAAUUCACGGAUGAUGAGGGGUAGAGUGAAGAUGCAGUGGACACAGGUGGCCCCAAGCGUGAAUUUCUAAGCCUCCUGAUGGACUGCCUAAAAACACGAAGAAUCUUUGAUGGCCCAGAGAAUGCAAAAUUUCUCACCUUUGACAGUGACGAUAGCAAAUGCACAGACAUUGGAGGAACUACAGAGCUCAGUGAAUAAGCACUCCAGUUUGCUGCAGACUGCUGGGUGUUUUCAGUACCCCAGAAGUAUUGAGAAAAAGGAGAUAAUCAUCAAAGAUUUUAUGCAGUGGUUCAUCAUUUAUCGGAAUCAUUUUUCCAUUCAAAGAUUUAGGGAAGGACUUGCAUCACUGGAUGUCAUUCAUGCUCUGGAACAGCAUACUACAACCUUUAGACAAUACAUGUGCUACAGCGAAAAAAGACUAUCGGCAUCCUCUUUAGAGGCUAGAGCUUAGUGAAGUGGGUAGCUCUAGAAGACAAGAGGAAAACAUAGUUCUUGGAUACUGGAGAGACUACCUGCUCGACACUGAAGAGCAAGAAACAAAAAUCUCUCUUAAGGACAUAUUGAUGUUUGCCACAGGAUUAAAUGCA